rnacentral:lncRNA from 1 species
GUGAUGCAUCAAUAACUUGUGUUAUUCAAUCUACCAAAUGAUUUAACUUGUUCUUUUCUGCAUCAUUGAAUCUAACUCUGCUUUUUUUUCUUCCCAUCCUUAAUGCAGUUAUGUGUAUGAGAGUAACUGAUGGGGCAGGAGAUUACAAUACAACUUAAAAUCAUUACCAUCCAAUCUCAAAGUAUGGCCGAGAUUACUACUGCAAGAAAUGUCGACCGUUCUCAAUCCAUUUCUCUGUACUAUAUGUUAAUUCUUUAUUGACUGAUACUUGCAAGUUUUUAGCAUGAUUGAUCUCUUUUGUAAAACAUUCUUGACAGUACUAUUGAAAACAAGCACAAACCACUUGUACGUUUUGAAGGAUUUGAGGAAAAUUUGGGACAAAGUAUAUAAUCCUAAUCUUCCUUGGGAGAAUGGAUAUUAUAAUGAGUCCACAUUGCUUUUGGAUGACUCCCUACAAGUAACUGCUAAAUCCUGUAAAUAAACUAACUCUUUCUUUAUAUUUAUCAUGCUUAUUUUCAGCAAUUAUAUAUAGUGACAUGUUCUAACUUAUGUUUAAUGUUUUCAUUAAUUGUUGCAGCCCUACAAAUCAAUUUUUCCUCACGCAUUCAGUUAUGAAAAUUAGAAUCACAAUUCAUUAGAUAUGGUACAAAAUGACUUUCAUAUUUCUAAAGUCAUAAGGUUUUGUUUGAUUUUGUUCCUUUUCUAUUGGUCUUUUGUCUAUUUAACACUAUUUUGUAUAGCUUUCUUUUAGCUUUUAGCUUGAAUCUCACAUCUUUUAAAUAUAAGUAAACAUAAUUUAUAGUAACAUCAACACUGGUAUUUGGAUAUAAUAGGUGAAUGAGAGGUUAUGGAAACGUGUUGGUAGUUAGUGGCUCAAUGCUAUAAUAUUUGGAUAGUUACUACUAUAAGAAUAAGCAUCAAUAAAGGGCACUACUGGGCGAACAAAUCAACACUAGUAGAAGACAACCAAAAUACUUGAAAAGGUUAGAUGUGAUUCAAAAAUCUCAAGGAAACAAUUAGCAAGGAAUCGAACCGGUCUAACAGACCAACCAAACAUCACACCAGAAAAAAAUCAAAGAUUCAAAGAUCUUCACAGACCACAAAUUCUAAAAAAUUCCCACAAACCCUAAAAAAUAAAGAACAGAAACAAAAAACCCAAAAAAGAAAGAUAAGAAAUCAUAGCAGAAGAAAAUAAGAACGAGGGAUUUGAGAGAGAAAGAUAAAGGUACCGAGUCAAUGCAGAAACGAAGAGAACGAUUGAGCAGGGCGAACAGCUUGAAGAAUCAGCGAAAGAUUGAGUGAGAUAGGUAAGGAAUUACGUGAGUUGAGAGAGAUCGAGUGGAAAAGAUCAUAUUCAGAGAUGUUCAUUUGAGCUUAGGGUUUUAUUUUCUUGUUCCCCUUUUAAAUUUGAGUUCUUAAAAUAUAUCAAUGUUU